UUUUAAGUAAAAUCUGCUCCAUGAUAAAUUAAAUAGCCGCAGGAAUUAACUGUGCUAAGGUAGCAUAAUCAUUAGUUUCUUAAUUUUUAACUAGAAUGAACGAUUUAACAUUUCAAUUACUUUCUUUUUAUCCUAUUAAAAAUUUUAUUAAAUAUAAAAAUAUAUUUAUUCUAAAACAAGACGACAAGACCCUUUCGAACUUAACUUUAGUUUGGCUGGGGCAGCUAUUUAAACACUAUUUUAAAUUAAAAUUUUACUCCAACACCCAAUAAAAUUGAUUUAAAUCAAGUUACCGAAGGGAUAACAGCGCAAUAUUAUUUUUAAGUUAUAUUUAAAAUAACGUUUACGACCUCGAUGUUGAAUUAUUUUCCUAAUAUAAUGCAAUAAUUUAAUUUAGGAGGUCUGUUCGACCAUUAAAUUUUUACA
rnacentral:rRNA from 1 species